rnacentral:misc_RNA from 1 species
GAUGAAGAACGUAGCGAAAUGCGAUAAGUAAUGUGAAUUGCAGAAUUCCGUGAAUCAUCGAAUCUUUGAACGCACAUUGCGCCCCUCGGUAUUCCGGGGGGCAUGCCUGUCCGAGCGUCAUUGCAACCUUCAAGCGCGGCUUGUGUGUUGGGUCUCGUCCCCCGUGGACGGGCCCGAAAGGCAGUGGCGGCACCGCGUCCGGUCCUCGAGCGUAUGGGGCUUUGUCACCCGCUCUGUAGGCCCGGCCGGCGCCAGCCGACACCCAACUUUAUUUCUAAGGUUGACCUCGGAUCAGGUAGGGAUACCCGCUGAACUUAAGCAUAUCAAUAAGCGGAGGA